GUCCAGACUCCUACGGGAGGCAGCAGUGGGGAAUAUUGCGCAAUGGGCGAAAGCCUGACGCAGCCAUGCCGCGUGUGUGAAGAAGGCCUUAGGGUUGUAAAGCACUUUCAAUUGGGAAGAAAAGUUUGUCGUUAAUAGCGCCAAGCUCUGACAUUACCUUUAGAAGAAGCACCGGCUAACUCCGUGCCAGCAGCCGCGGUAAUACGGAGGGUGCGAGCGUUAAUCGGAAUUACUGGGCGUAAAGCGCGCGUAGGCGGUUUGUUAAGUCAGCUGUGAAAGCCCCGGGCUCAACCUGGGAACUGCAGUUGAUACUGGCCGACUAGAGUACGAGAGAGGGAGGUAGAAUUCCAUGUGUAGCGGUGAAAUGCGUAGAUAUAUGGAGGAAUACCAGUGGCGAAGGCGGCCUCCUGGCUCGAUACUGACGCUGAGGUGCGAAAGCGUGGGGAUCAAACAGGAUUAGAUACCCUGGUAGUCCACGCCGUAAACGAUGUCUACUAGCCGUUGGGAGACUUGAUUUCUUAGUGGCGCAGCUAACGCACUAAGUUGACCGCCUGGGGAGUACGGCCGCAAGGUUAAAACUCAAAUGAAUUGACGGGGGCCCGCACAAGCGGUGGAGCAUGUGGUUUAAUUCGAUGCAACGCGAAGAACCUUACCAUCCCUUGACAUCCACAGAAGAGACCAGAGAUGGACUUGUGCCUUCGGGAACUGUGUGACAGGUGCUGCAUGGCUGUCGUCAGCUCGUGUUGUGAAAUGUUGGGUUAAGUCCCGCAACGAGCGCAACCCCUAUCCUUAUUUGCCAGCGCGUUAUGGCGGGAACUCUAAGGAGACUGCCGGUGAUAAACCGGAGGAAGGUGGGGACGACGUCAAGUCAUCAUGGCCCUUACGGGAUGGGCUACACACGUGCUACAAUGGCGUAUACAGAGUGCUGCAAUACCGCGAGGUGGAGCGAAUCACACAAAGUACGUCGUAGUCCGGAUCGGAGUCUGCAACUCGACUCCGUGAAGUCGGAAUCGCUAGUAAUCGUAGAUCAGAAUGCUACGGUGAAUACGUUCCCGGGCCUUGUACACACCGCCCGUCACACCAUGGGAGUGGGUUGCAAAAGAAGUGGGUAGCAUAACCUUUGGGAGUGCGCUCACCACUUUGUGAUUCAUGACUGGGGUGAAGUCGUAACAAGGUAGCCGUAGGGGAACCUGCGGCUG
rnacentral:rRNA from 1 species